rnacentral:rRNA from 1 species
AUCGAACGCUGGCGGCAGGCUUAACACAUGCAAGUCGAAUGGUAACAGGAAACGGCUUGCUGUUUCGCUGACGGGUGGCGGACGGGGGAGGAAUGUCUGGGAAACUGCCUGAUGGAGGGGGUUACCUACUGGAAACGGUGGCUAAUCCCGCAUAACGUCGCAAGACCAAAGGGGGGGACUUUAAGGCCUCGUGCCGUCAGAGGUGGCCAGAGGGGAUUAGCUAGUAGGUGGGGUAACGGCUCACCCAGGCGACGUGCCCUAGCUGGUCUGAGAGGAUGGCCAGCCACACUGGAACUGAGACACGGUCCAGACUCCUACGGGAGGCAGCAGUGGGGAAUAUUGCACAGAGGGCGCAAGCCUGAUGCAGCCAUGCCGCGUGUAUGAAGAAGGCCUUCGGGUUGUAAAGUACUUUCAGCGGGGAGGAAGGGAGUAAAGUUAAUACCUUUGCUCAUUGACGUUACCCGCAGAAGAAGCACCGGCUAACUCCGUG